rnacentral:rRNA from 1 species
AUUGAACGCUGGCGGCAGGCCUAACACAUGCAAGUCGAACGAGUGGCGGACGGGUGAGUAAUGUCUGGGAAACUGCCUGAUGGAGGGGGAUAACUACUGGAAACGGUAGCUAAUACCGCAUACCAUCAGAUGUGCCCAGAUGGGUUUGGCUUGUUGGUGGGGUAACGGCUCACCAAGGCGACGAUACCUAUCUGGUCUGAGAGGGUGACCGGCCACAUGUGAACUGAGACACGGUCAAGACUCCUCAGGGAGGCAGCAGUGGGGAAUGUUGGACAAUGGGCGCAGGCCUGAUGCAGCCAUGCCGCGUGGAUGAGGAAGGCCUUCGGUUUGUAAAGUACUUUCAGCGGGGAGGCGUUACCCGCAGAAGAAGCACCGGCUAACUCCGUGCCAGCAGCCGCGGUAAUAC